UACGUAGGGUGCAAGCGUUAAUCGGAAUUACUGGGCGUAAAGCGUGCGCAGGCGGUUUUGUAAGUCUGUCGUGAAAGCCCCGGGCUCAACCUGGGAAUUGCGAUGGAGACUGCAAGGCUUGAAUCUGGCAGAGGGGGGUAGAAUUCCACGUGUAGCAGUGAAAUGCGUAGAGAUGUGGAGGAAUACCGAUGGCGAAGGCAGCCCCCCUGGGAUAACACUGACGCUCAUGCACGAAAGCGUGGGGAGCAAACAGG
rnacentral:rRNA from 1 species